UGGCAAGGGAGUUGGCUGCACGCCGGGUCCCGAUUGCUCCUCAGCAACUUGUGAUGCCGAGUAUUUAGGGCCAUCCAUCGGUAGCUGCCUGAGGUUCAACGCUCCUCCGGCGCCUACUCUCCCUUAUGACAGCGAUGCAGAUCUCGCAGCGUUGACUCCCGGAUACGACAGCAGGCUUGCUCUUCUCACUACUGCAGCUCCGCACCACAAAUAUAAAGACUACGCGGGGUGCAAGACGCCCUCGGAACGCAGGGCAGCGUCGGGCAGAAAUUUCCUGAAGUGACUACAACAAUUCCUCAGCU
rnacentral:lncRNA from 1 species